CGGGGUGUGGCGCAACGGUAGCGCACGUGCUUUGGGAGUACGAGGUUGCGGGUUCGAAUCCCGCCACCCCGACCA
rnacentral:tRNA from 1 species